rnacentral:tRNA from 2 species
GCCUAUAGCUCAGUUGGUCAGAGCACCUCGUUUACACCGAGGGGGUCGGGGGUUCGAGUCCCUCUGGGCCC